UGCCCCAUCCCCAUGACUCACACAGAGCUGCCUCUGCAGAAAAACCCACAUCUGGAAUUGUUUAUAGCUCCAGAUGCUGGUCCCCUCCCUCCCUCCUUUUUUGCACGCACUCACAGAAUCCCAAAAGUUAUGUUUCCUUUGUACGGAGGCCACAAACCUCACACCCCCCACCCCAGCCUGUGAUUUCCUUGAAGGCCCCAACUAGUUUCCAGACUGGAUUCAGCUGCAGACGUUGCCACGUCAGACAACGCCGAGAUGAUUUUUUCACAGAACAGUUUCACUUACAAAACCCAGGAAAGGAAAACAGGAGAGGACUGCACAGAAAGGAGUCUUCUGGGGACCAGCCCCGCCUUCCCAGUGUUCAGACUACCUGUUCAGGAAGCUACAAAGGUGUACAGUAGUCUGCACAUUGGUUAGACUGGGUUUGGGUGAGCAACGUUUCUAAGGUCUUUGACUUUCAGACGUCUUCCUUCAUGUUCCUUUGAUGGCCACAGGAGAGCACUUUCUUAGUGUGGUUCCAGACUAGGUAACAGCUUGUUGGAAGUACUUUGCCAUGUCUGCCUUUUCACAGUGAAAUGUAUUUUGUUCCAAUGACUCUUUUGGAAAUCCGGUCUCUCAUUCUUCUACUGCUUGACAUUGUUUUUAAUAUUCUGAUGAAAUUUCAAAUAAAGUGAAACUAUAAACUAAUUCCUAUCUUCCUCUCAUUCCAAAA